GUCUCUGUCCUCCGUACUAACAUGUGCUAUAUACUGUGUUGUGCGUGAGACAGCGACCG
rnacentral:pre_miRNA from 1 species